rnacentral:rRNA from 1 species
AUUAAACGCUGGCGGCAUGCCUUACACAUGCAAGUCGAACGGCAGCACGGGGGCAACCCUGGUGGCGAGUGGCGAACGGGUGAGUAACGCAUCGGAACGUGCCCUGGAGUGGGGGAUAACGUAGCGAAAGUUACGCUAAUACCGCAUAUUCUGUGAGCAGGAAAGCAGGGGAUCGCAAGACCUUGCGCUCUGGGAGCGGCCGAUGUCGGAUUAGCUAGUUGGUGGGGUAAAGGCCUACCAAGGCGACGAUCCGUAGCGGGUCUGAGAGGAUGAUCCGCCACACUGGGACUGAGACACGGGCCAGACUCCUACGGGAGGCAGCAGUGGGGAAUUUUGGACAAUGGGCGCAAGCCUGAUCCAGCCAUGCCGCGUGAGUGAAGAAGGCCU